rnacentral:sRNA from 1 species
CAAGAGUAUCAAACUCAUGGUUCUUCGC